GACGAACGCUGGCGGCGUGCCUAAUACAUGCAAGUAGAACGCUGAAGAGAGGAGCUUGCUCUUCUUGGAUGAGUUGCGAACGGGUGAGUAACGCGUAGGUAACCUGCCUUGUAGCGGGGGAUAACUAUUGGAAACGAUAGCUAAUACCGCAUAACAAUGGAUGACACAUGUCAUUUAUUUGAAAGGGGCAAUUGUUCCACUACAAGAUGGACCUGCGUUGUAUUAGCUAGUAGGUGAGGUAAUGGCUCACCUAGGCGACGAUACAUAGCCGACCUGAGAGGGUGAUCGGCCACACUGGGACUGAGACACGGCCCAGACUCCUACGGGAGGCAGCAGUAGGGAAUCUUCGGCAAUGGGGGCAACCCUGACCGAGCAACGCCGCGUGAGUGAAGAAGGUUUUCGGAUCGUAAAGCUCUGUUGUAAGUCAAGAAUGGGUGUGAGAGUGGAAAGUUCACACUGUGACGGUAGCUUACCAGAAAGGGACGGCUAACUACGUG
rnacentral:rRNA from 1 species